CAAAUGCUGGUGGAAAAACAAAAAAAAAAGAGACUGGAAAUAAAUAUAAAGCACUACCUCUUCUAAAAAUACCCUGCCUUAAGGACAAAGUCCCAAAAAGACCCUUGAUAACAUCUCAAGAUGAAGAAGAGAAGAUAUUAGAAAUAUUUUAAUUGCCAGAUUGCCUUCAUCGAGCAUUGCAAUUCAUAAGACUAGGUUAUGUGAGGUUCCGAAUGUGGAAGGAUCUUGCAUGAAAAUAUAUGGAACCAUUAUCAGAAAUGCAGAAAAUUCCAUUUUCAUGCAGAAUUUUUACAAUUUUGGGUCUGAAAUUAAUUUUAGAUGCACUCAAUGUAUCAGAAAAUACAAUAAGUUAACUAUGUUUGACAGUAUUGAUAUAUGUGUAUCGACAAUGCAAGAUAGAGGUCAAUGGGAAGAAGAAAGGAAGUAUAGAGUUACUGGCUCACGAUGCUACGACUUAUAUACUUUUUCGAAAAAUGAUUGGGAAGAGAAAUGUAGUAAAUAUUUUUUUCCCAAGCAUUUUUCGAAUAUCUAUACAAAACAUAGCAUUAAAUGCGAGCCAAUGGCCCGAAAAGGUUUCAGGGUUUUCUAUACAAAAAAUAGGUCUUGUGAUAUGUAGAAGUGAACCAUGGCUGGCAUAUUCUGCUGACGGAAUUUUGUUAAAGAAUGGCAAGCCCUAUGGUCUUUUAGAAAUAAAGUGUCCAUUCAAAGCAAAGCAAGCCUCUGACUUGGGGAAUUGUAAAUAUAUUAUAAAAGAGAAUAAUAAUUAUGAACUGAAAAAAAACAUAAAUACUUUGCACAGGUGCAGGUGGGAAUUGCAAUCCUAAAUUUAGACAUUUGCCACUUUAUUAUUUAUUUUUCAAGCAAUAAUUCAUUCAUUGAAAUUAAGGUGCCCUUUGAUGAAGAAUACACAUAUAAUAUGUUAACUUCUUUGAAAAAAAACUAUAUUGAGAAAAUGUUACACCAUAUUUGUAAUGAAUAAUUGAAAAAUUAAUAUAUUUUUUGAAAUAAAA